CCGAAGGGAGGGCCGAAUCCGAACGACGGUCCAACUCCAACUCGCAUAGGAGAGGUAAUUGAAACGUCAAGGAGUACCCAAUACCUAGGUGUAGAACCAGAGACUAGCGAUGUCAUAGACAACGAAGCGUAGGUGUGACCAUUCUAAGCUAGAGAUAGCGAUUGAUUGGAGCCAUGCGAACUGACACAUCUCAGUAGCAUGGAGAGAGCCAACAGGGAGGCUAGUAGUACCGGUGAGGGAGGCUAGUCUCGUAUUCAAGUAGUGCUAUCAGCACGAACAGAGCAGUGCUACUGCUAAUACGAACGAGCAUCGCUAAGUCAUGAGUACCGUGAGGGAACAAAGGGCUAUCAGUACCACUCCUACUAACCAGGACUCCGGCGGGAGUAUCAAGGUGGUAGUUGAGAUGGGCUGGAUAAGCACCUAGGUAGAGAGCAGCCAUUGGAUGGCGUACCUCUGGUAUAAUGGGUCAGUGAGUCACUGCGGUUAGCGAAGCUUAGAGCUGUCUUGACCAAGUCACUAGUUAACCGUAGUGGACCCGAAAGCACGUGAUCUACGCAUGGCCCGGCUAGCCAAUCUUGAAUCACUCGGUUGAGUGAAGUAGCGAAACACGCUCCUGUCCCCGGUAUGGGAGGGAGUAUGAGUGAGUACUAAGCCCUGGUUGCGCAGGCAACUCAACUAAGGACCUUAAAUGGUCACCUACGCCUGAUUCGGUCUAGGCCUAACAGGUGGGUGUAGCAAUACCCUCUGAAGAGCCGUGUGUCGUAGUGAAAGGCCAAUCUGACGUGCCGAUAGCUGGUUCUCUGUGAGCUAUAUCUGAGUAUAGCGCCUACCCAAGCCGCUGAGAAGGCACAUCUCGGGAUCUAGAGCUAAGCAAGCACAGCUGCCUUGUAAUGAGGAAGUGGUCACUCGUAGUGAGCCAGUGCUUGCCCUUUAGGCGAUGAGGUGAGUUCAAUCACCAUUGAGAUACCACCUUAGUAGUGGUUGAGAUGAGAGCUGAAUCAAGGACCUGGUAAACCACUAGUGGUAUGUGGGGAGUUCGCUUAUCCACUAUCACCAACGUCUGAACAGGCGCCCUUGUGAAGGGUAGGCAGUCAGUCCCUUUGCGAUAAGGUAAAGGGACUCAAAGGGAAUAGCCUUGACUGUUGAAGGAAGGUCCCCAAUCACGGCUAAGUGCAUCCAAUCCGAUAGUGACCGUUAAGGCCACACGACCGCCUUGAGAUAGCCAGUGAGUGGCUUUGAUAGUAACCACCUCUUAAUGAGCGUGUAACAACGCACUGGCGGAGCACUUGAGGAACUGCCUUCAAUCACCCUAAUCAGGAAGGGAAGACCUAGAGGACCAUUCGCUGAGAGUGAUCACCUUUGGGUUGCGUACCUUGACCAUUCAGAGGACGAGAGAUGUCCCUGUACGAGCCUGUUGAUUGCAGUCCAAGUACAAGGCGGGUUAGGAGUAGAUACCCGGGGCUAAGCCGUGGACCGUCUAACAGGCCCUAAUAGGGCGGUAACAGAGCACAUCACGAACCAGUGAUGCUGAGUAUGCUGACUUGAGUAGCGCAAGGUAGGUUAAGGCCUAUCCCCUUAUGAGUAUGAGGUAUUACUACUAACCAACGGCCUCUAAGGGCCUAAGUGAAAGCUUGGGUUCGAUGAGCACUACUACUAGAAGCAGUGAUGACCGUACUGUAGACCGACCCUGGUAUACCAAGCGAUCUUGACUUCGCAUACGCGUUCAAGGUCAGCUAAGGGCAUGAGACAACCCCUGUUAAUGAACUCGGCAAAGACGGCUUUAACCCGUCCUUAGUGCGACUGUUUACCAAAAACGUAGCCUGCUGCAAGCACGCAAGUGCCCGUAUAGCAGGUGACACCUGCCCAGUGUGAGUGCUAUACCCAAAAGCACUCGUCAACGGCGGCCUUACCAUGAGGGUCCGAAGGUAGCGAAAUUCCUUGGCACGUAACUGGUGUCCCGCAUGAAUGGAUUGACGAUGCUAAGGCUCUAUCAACAGGGGACUCAGCGAAUUAGCAAUCGCAGUGAAGAUGCUGCGUAUCAGCAGGUUGACGAGAAGACCCUAUGCAGCUUCACCAUAGGGCUACUCUGCCUUAGACGGUCUGGUGGCUAGGUGAUAGUCAGAUAGGACUACCUAGUUGACCGCGUCUAAGGCUCACUAACCAUCCCAUACCAUCAAACUCAGGAAUGGCUACCAUACCAGGAGGUCAAGAGACCCACUGAGGGAUCACUAGCCACUUAGCGCAGUGAUCCGACCAAGCACUUGACUCCGUAGAGGGGACUGCUCUAGUUCAUCGUAAUGGUGAGCCUAUGCGCCUCCUAAGCUCCGUUGGAGCGUCUCUACUCUCAUGGGCGGAUGGGGUCUAGGACACAGUAGCCUUGUUGGUUUCGAUGGGGCGUCGGCAUCACACAACCCAACUGAUGCGUCUAACUGAUCACCAUGAUAGACCACCUCCUUGAGGUGAAACCAGUAUGCCCUAGUGCAGUACGACUAGAAGGCAACUAGUGACUAGUCGAUAGACCUAUGGCUAUUGAGACGAGUGAGUCUCCUUAGCUGUCUAUGACUAAGCAAACGGGCAAUACCCUAACUGCGCUAUGAUAAGCGGACUUACGCGUCUGCUUAGCACGUAAGUGGCGUAUACUGAACAGGUGACCUCUUAAGCUUGGAGUGCCGAUUACGGAUCAAAGCUACGCUAGGGAUAACAGGGUAAUACCGCUAGAGAGUCGAUAUCGUCAGCGGUGUUUGCCACCUCGAUGUCGUCUAGGCUCAACCUCGCGGCAGUAGCCGUUGCGAAGGGUAGGACUGUUCGUCCUCUAAGGAGCUACUUGAGAUGGGUUAACUACGGCGUGAGCCAGUAGUGAUUCUAUCAUCUGCUGUUAGUGACUAGGCGUGGGUGCGUGUGUACGAGAGGAUGGCGCACUCUAGCCCUAUGGUCCAGAGGUACCAAGAGAGGUACCUCCAAAGCUAAGACUAGGUGGGAUAGACGCUGAUUGCCUAUCAAGCGUGAAGCCACAUGUCUAGUCACUCCCUCAUCAUAGACCAUGAUGCGAUAGUCACUCAUACUAGACCGGUUGAUGACUAAUCAAAGACGACUCCUUGACCCCAAUUACCUCCUAGAGACCUGCCCUCCC
rnacentral:rRNA from 1 species